ensembl:lincRNA
CCUCCUUAAACGCAGGGAUCUGCAAAGAAGGAAAAAACACAAGAAGAAAAACGGGGCCCCUGGGCCCCUCCUCAUUCAUGGGAUACUCUGUGGGGACAGGUCCUUUCUUUGCCUGUCUUGGGGAAUUCCCUGGUGCUCCCAUGUGAGCAGGGCCACAAACCACCUUUGUGAUGAAGAAUCAAGGGAGAGAAGAGAGGGCCUGUCAAGAAGCUGCUGGGGUGGCCCCGGAGGCAGAUGUCCUUGAUUGGAUUCCUAGAAGGCGCUCUGCUCGGAGGAGCCUGACGCCGGGUGGCAGCACUUCCCUCCUGGUGCGGAGAAUUGGAGCUAGACGCUCACGACCACCUCCUUUCUCAGGAUUUUCUCAUCUCCCCCCAUCCCGUCCCACCCCCUCCACCCCCGUGCCUUUACUUCUCAGGCCUCAAGCAGAGAGAAAGCGCCAGAAAAUUGGGAAGCCCUCUGCAGUGCAACCCACCAGAGGAAGAGCCUGCCUCUCCUGACUGAUUCACCAGGACCCCGCGACCAGGCCCCCACACCCCCAGUUCGCUUGCCAGCAGGGGCGAAUCCAGUGCCUGACCCACCCCAGCCUUCCUUCCCGGGAGCCAGAAGACACUGCCCUUGUGAUGAACGUGCCAAGUGGAGCGUGUGCCCCCAGGCCCUUGUCCCUCGGCGUGGGCCUGCCCCUGCGCCGGCCGGUGGGUUAUUUACGGGCGCCCCGUGUGGCCUUUGCCCGGAGCUCAGUGUCUCCAAAAGGCUGCUCGGCCUAGCACCGGAAAUUGGAAAUUGGAAACCGAGGAUCUAGCCCAGCCAUCUCUGACUCGGGCUCCAGCAAACCCAACGCACGCUGACCUCUGCCCUGUCCACCUGGGGCAGGCGCGCCUACCUGCCAGCGCUGCCCCCCACGCCGACGGCCGGCGCCUGGUCAGCGGCCUGGGGGAGGGGAGCCUUCAAACCCAAGCCCUGGCCACGGAGGCAGCGCAGGGUGUGUGUGUGUGCAACAGAAUGAAUUCUUAAAUGUUUUUUCUCUUAAAAAUUUCAUCCGCUGUGUUCAUCAAUGCAUGGAGGUGGAACAUUUGGCAAGAUUAUUUUAAGUGGCGCUGCAACCUGUGACUGUAGUUUCAAAUCAAGGAAUUUGCUGAGCAGCUGUGGGGAAGAACAAAGGACCCGGGUGGGGGACAGCUAGGCUGAGUUUGAGGGCGAAGAGCUGGGAGCAGAAGCAGCUGGGAGGCCGGGCGCUAAGAGUCCAUAUUCUUAGCCGCUGUUCUCAUCUGCUGAACAUACCACUCGAGGCAUUAAAAUGGUAUAUAUAGACCAAGAGGAUUGAGAUUCAAUUUAAAACAAUGGCUGAGAGCGUCGGCUUGGGAGCCAGACAGACCUGACUUGAAACCGGCCCUGCCACUGACCGGCCUCAGUUGAAUUAUCUGUAAAAUGGGGAUAAUCCUGGCAACCACAUCAAAGGGAUUAUUCUGAGGAUGAGAUAAGAGAAUGCAUAGGAAGUGUUUGUUUGGCCCAGCUGGUAGCAAACAGUAGAUGUUCAAAAUGCCAUUGUUGCCAGUAGGCUGUGUCCUUGUCACUGUUUCAUUCAACAAACAUCUACAUUGAGCACCUUAUGUUCCUUAUGUUAUAUUCCAGGUGCAGGGAUAGGUGUUGUAGGGAAACAGCUAUGUGAAACACAGGGGUUAAUAUGCUAUGAGAGAAAGAAAAGAUACUUCUAUUGAGGUGAAGAGUAAUAUCUUUUGAGAAAAGUUAAUUUACAAAAUUACCCU